rnacentral:rRNA from 1 species
GAUGAACGCUGGCGGCGUGCCUAAUACAUGCAAGUCGAGCGAACGGACGAGAAGCUUGCUUCUCUGAUGUUAGCGGCGGACGGGUGAGUAACACGUGGAUAACCUACCUAUAAGACUGGGAUAACUUCGGGAAACCGGAGCUAAUACCGGAUAAUAUUUUGAACCGCAUGGUUCAAAAGUGAAAGACGGUCUUGCUGUCACUUAUAGAUGGAUCCGCGCUGCAUUAGCUAGUUGGUAAGGUAACGGCUUACCAAGGCAACGAUGCAUAGCCGACCUGAGAGGGUGAUCGGCCACACUGGAACUGAGACACGGUCCAGACUCCUACGGGAGGCAGCAGUAGGGAAUCUUCUGCAAUGGGCGAAAGCCUGACGGAGCAACGCCGCGUGAGUGAUGAAGGUCUUCGGAUCGUAAAACUCUGUUAUUAGGGAAGAACAUAUGUGUAAGUAACUGUGCACAUCUUGACGGUACCUAAUCAGAAAGCCACGGCUAACUACGUGCCAGCAGCCGCGGUAAUACGUAGGUGGCAAGCGUUAUCCGGAAUUAUUGGGCGUAAAGCGCGCGUAGGCGGUUUUUUAAGUCUGAUGUGAAAGCCCACGGCUCAACCGUGGAGGGUCAUUGGAAACUGGAAAACUUGAGUGCAGAAGAGGAAAGUGGAAUUCCAUGUGUAGCGGUGAAAUGCGCAGAGAUAUGGAGGAACACCAGUGGCGAAGGCGACUUUCUGGUCUGUAACUGACGCUGAUGUGCGAAAACGUGGGGAUCAAACAGGAUUAGAUACCCUGGUAGUCCACGCCGUAAACGAUGAGUGCUAAGUGUUAGGGGGUUUCCGCCCCUUAGUGCUGCAGCUAACGCAUUAAGCACUCCGCCUGGGGAGUACGACCGCAAGGUUGAAACUCAAAGGAAUUGACGGGGACCCGCACAAGCGGUGGAGCAUGUGGUUUAAUUCGAAGCAACGCGAAGAACCUUACCAAAUCUUGACAUCCUUUGACAACUCUAGAGAUAGAGCCUUCCCCUUCGGGGGACAAAGUGACAGGUGGUGCAUGGUUGUCGUCAGCUCGUGUCGUGAGAUGUUGGGUUAAGUCCCGCAACGAGCGCAACCCUUAAGCUUAGUUGCCAUCAUUAAGUUGGGCACUCUAAGUUGACUGCCGGUGACAAACCGGAGGAAGGUGGGGAUGACGUCAAAUCAUCAUGCCCCUUAUGAUUUGGGCUACACACGUGCUACAAUGGACAAUACAAAGGGCAGCGAAACCGCGAGGUCAAGCAAAUCCCAUAAAGUUGUUCUCAGUUCGGAUUGUAGUCUGCAACUCGACUACAUGAAGCUGGAAUCGCUAGUAAUCGUAGAUCAGCAUGCUACGGUGAAUACGUUCCCGGGUCU